rnacentral:lncRNA from 1 species
UAUCAUUACAGUUUUAAAAACAUUAAACUGAAACUGAAACUAAAUUUAAACAGCUUCAAAUAAAAACUAUUUUAGACAAUACCUUUUUUUUAAGCCAAAAUUAUUUUGAAUCUGAAUGUUUUUGAAAAAAACCAAUUUAAAUUUUGAAGUCUAUUGAACCUAUAACUCCUGCCAAAAAAAUAUUGGAUUGAAAUCGAUUCGACCAGAUGAUUCUAUAGAGAUAAUGUUGAAUUCUAUAGAAUAAUAUGUUCCUUAUAAAGUUUUAGACAUUCCUCUUCCUUUAAUUAAUUUUAUUUUUCAAGUGAAUUAAAUUUUAUCUAAAUUUAACAUAAUAUUAUAUUAGACUCUCUCGAUAUUGAACCUCUCAUAAAUAUGUUACGCUUGAGUGCAGUUGUGUAUGAGAGAUAUAUUGAAUCCCACAACCAUUGAC